GUCCGCUUCCAUUCCAAACCCACCCACUCAUCCACCCGCCUAACCCCACCACCCGUCAUUGCUGCGGCUGCCUCAUACUUCCACAAUUUCACCGCUCCGGCCUCCGGCUGGUUCCACUCCGCACCGCGGCGCGGAGGCGAUGGCCGUCCCUUCCUCCGACCGCGCGAGACGCCCCUUCCCCCUCUCGCCCUCGCUCUCGCUCUUCCUCCUCAUCUCCGCCAUCCUCGUCCUCCUCUUCCUCUUCCUCGACCCCUCGCCCGGAUCGCUCGCGUUCCUCCCCUCCCGUCUCUCCGCAUCAGCCCCUUCCCUCGCACCUCCUCUAACCCCCCAGCAACAAAGCCGCGCCCCGCGAAGCAGAAGCCCACCUCACUCGAGACCAGACGGCUCGAGCGCCACCGAGAAAGCGGAGGAGGGCACUACUGCCACCGCAUCGCAACCCGUCACAAAAGCCGAUGCCAACGGUAGCGCAUCGGGACCAUCCGCAAAGGAAUCCAGCGGUGGCAGCGGCUCAGGCGGUAACAGCGGCGCCAGGGGAGUCGGGGCGGACGGGGAGACGGGUACAAGCGUCGUCGCCCCGGUGGAGAAAGGUGGGGACGACGAGGAGGAGGCGCCGGUGAGCGUGAGGUGGCAGACGUGCAGCAGGCUGGGGAGGGGCGUGUCGUCGACGGACUACAUCCCGUGCCUGGACAACGUGCGGGCGAUCAAGGCGCUGCGGUCGAGGCGGCACAUGGAGCACCGCGAGCGGCACUGCCCCCUGCCGCCCCGGCUCAGGUGCCUGGUGCCGCUGCCUGCAGGGUACCGGACGCCUGUGCCGUGGCCGCGGAGCCGUGACAUGGUGAGGACCUCCCCCGCGCUAGCUUUGCUUGCCGUAGUAGGCAAGGGAGGGAAGUGGCUCUGGUUGUUGAUCCUCUUUCUUUAGUUUAUCUCUACUAACUAUUAAGGGGGCAGUGUAGACUGCCCCCACUCUCUACCCGCACGCGCCAGCGAACGGCCUCCCGCACCUCACGCACCGCUCACGCGAUGCAACUUCCCACGCCCACGUCACAUCCUCAUCACUCGCCCGCCUGACCCCGUGUCCUCCGCAUCCAUGGCCAAGCCACCGCCGCGGGACGACGGUGAGCGUCUGCUCGUAGACGACAAGGAAGGCGAAGGCGAGGUUGGCGGCGACGCCGGCGGAGACAACGAGCAGGCGGUCUGGGACGGGGCGCUUGCGGAGGAGGUCGGGGUCGUCGGGCGCGAACCCGGACUCCGGGUCGUCGUCGGGGAAGUUGCGGCGAACAACCCGCACACAUACGCACUCCCUUGCAGUUCAACGACGAUUCAGGCGUUGUCCCCGUCAAUGCGGUGCUCGACCCCGACGCGCCGCUCGACUCAAACGUCGACAGCAGCGGGUCACCGCUCCACCCGUUCCUCCCGAAGGGCGCGGCGCUGUUCCGCCGGGACCCGGAUGAAAUGGAGCACCCACCGGCGUUGCGCGCGUGCCUCAACUCGCCGCACCCGCUCCCCGCUCCCGACGACCGACCGCUGAAGCCCGUCGUCCACCGCCUCCUCCUGGAGCGCGCCUGCCAACCCGCCCAGGUUUCGUUCAACACCGACGCAGAGGAGGAGGUUCUCACCACCACGCGCACCAAGUGUUCGAGAAUGGGCCUCAACCGCGGCACCUACUCUGUCCCCAACCGCCCCGUGGUCUGCAUCCUGGGUGGGCCCAACUCCGACGACUACGGCUCCAACCGCUCCAUGCUCCCGGACAUCCAUGUUGUCGGCGGCGGCCUCUCCAACCCCGACCCGGACGACCCCAAGGUCAUGGGUCUCGAGACCCGCGAACAGAUGCGGUACAUCGAGAAGCUGAAGCAGGCGCGCUAUGACUGGCAACUGCCCUGUGAGAGGGGAGACCUUGCCGCGACAUGGCAGCCAGCAUGGUCACUGGCGUUCACAGUGGGCAACGCGCGGCUCGCAGUCCACGUCGCGUCGCAGUGCCAACAGGCGUCCUCGCGCGACACGCAGGCCAUGGCCACCAUGGCGAAGAAGAGUGUCGGGGACCUCACGGAGGACACGAUCAUCGCGAGGCUCUGCACCUACACCACUUUCCUUGACCUCCUUCGAGUCAACGGCCUCGCUGUGCGACUAUGCCUUCCCCAGAGCAGCUACGUUGCCACCCAAAUCGUGCACACCUGCAACGGCUACGAACGCAAGCCAAGCAAUGUUAUUGGCCCUGAAAUUGAGACGCUUGUGUUCACCUUGCCCUACAGCGCAAAUCGGCAGAUGCUUGGUCAAUAUCCGACGGCGACAUAUGUCAACUUUCCCCUUAUGCGAUGGAACUGCCAACUCGCCGUGCUGGUCGGAGUGCUCUGGAUCGAGGCUUGCUGCUGCACGCCGUGUUGGGAGGGAAGCUAUCGUCUCCUGCCGCUGGGAGAAGCCGGGGACCCUCUGUUUGCUGAGGCCAAAAUCUCCUUCCUUGCGCAGGCACUCGAGGACGGUGCAAUGGGUAUCAUACAGUGUUGUUUCUCGCCUUUAUUCCAUUGCAGCAAGGAUGCAGUGCCGCGCCCCAAUCCUGUCGCGAGCAUCACCGACAUCCACAUCAAUGACAACCUUGUGUGCAAGCUUGUUGCUGAGAUCAUGGGUUUCUCGAUUUUUGCUGCACGGCUUGGAUUACCAGUCAAGGACGAGGAUGGGCCAGAGGGGAUAUUUACCAACAGAAAAGCUGUCGAAGCCCAUCAGUUCACAAUAUGGCCUUUCGGACAGACUGUAUCUGGUCAUUUCUUCCCAAAUGGUGGCUACCAUGCCGAGCAGAAUAUGGUGCUCAUCUUGGAUGUAGCCCGUUUCAAAUAUCCUCUGCAUUGGGUUCCAUUGCAACUUAUUUUGGAAGCCAUGAAUACAACUGAUAACUCAACUGGAGGGUUCAUGCUUAUAUCAAGAAAGGUUGCAGCCCCUUCAUUGUUGCACACAGUGAGUUGCAGAGAUGAAAACUGGAAAAGUGUGUCAAGGUUUUGUGUUGAGGAUUUACCAAGUCUUCGGAAGGUAGGGAUUGGUACUAGCGUGGGCUUGGUUACCUCUGGUUUGAGUGCCGUCAGAAGUCGCCAAGGCAACUUUUCAAUUUUUGUUUGGGAUCCUGGUGAUUGUGCUGUCAUAUUGCCAGCUUCAAGUGUCGUUCCAGUGUUGCAAGAGUUGUCGAAUUUCAGAUGGAGGGCUGCAGAGGAAACGUUAUGCAUUCAACAAUGAUGCAGCAGAAGAAGCUGAUCCUACACCAUCAGCGACUUGGGGGCAAGCCACAUUUCAAGGAGUGGGGAAUGUUAGGUAUACUAUGGGCUAUGGUCAUGUAUACUAGAUGGGCUAUAGGUUAUGUGGUAUUAAGGAGUUAUAAAUACAUGCUCAGACAUCUGUAAAAGGUAUCAAAGAAGAAAUAUCAGAACUCUAUCGAGAAGCCUUCGUGCUCCUUUGUCUCUAUCUCUCUUCUUCUCCAAGUCUCUAUCCCAGCCGAUCACUUUCCUCUUCCGAAAUCUCAAUCUACGAGCUCUUCUUCCAGUUCUCUCGAUCCCCUUCCUAGGGGCUGCUAACAGAUGGCGUGGAGCGCGUACUUCACGGGGCCGAGGUGGAAGCGAGCGAGCGGCGGGCCGAAGCAGAUGGAGAACUGGGAGACGUGGAUGCCCCGGGACGCCGCGGCUAGGAAGUACCCGGACUCGUGGACGAGCACGAUAGCGGCCAGGACGGAGGCCGCGGAGGCCACGGACUCGACGCUGGCGAGGAGGCCUGGCGCGGCCGCGGCGGGCUUAGCGAAGUUGCGGUGGUGGCGGGGGAGCGGGAGGUGCACGAGAAGGUGGUGGUUGUGAGAGGUGGAGUGGAGCGGGGACGAGAAGCGGUACUGCUUGAGGGCUGGGGAGAGAUGGGUGGCAAUCAUGGUGGGAGGGGCGGAGGAAGAGGAGGAAGAGGCCGCAGUGGAUAAUCUGACAUUCUUGAAGGGAAGGAGUUUGAGGUGUGGGUUUGACGGUGAGUGAGCGAAGUGGACUCAACGGCUGUGUGGUGUGGACGAGGCGGAGGCGCCGAGCAAUAGCUCGACUAGGUACUCUAACUAGGGAGAUAAUUGGGAUUGUAACAUGCUUGUCCAGUGGCUUCGUCACUCUAUUAUUCCGCCCCUUCGCUCUUUUAGGAUUAUGGAAGUGAGCCACUUGGCAGAAAAUCUCUACUUCUCUACUAACUAUUAAGAUGAUAGUGUAGACCACAGCCAUGCCCUCGCCUCUCCUCCGCGCCCGCACCCGCCUCCGUUUCCCUCGCCCGCACAAACCGCCACAUCUGUGAGCCACGCAUGGGCCAUCUGCAUGCCACAUCCGCCCCAUCCUCUCACUGUUUAUCCCCUCCGCACGACUACCAACCCAGUCGAUCCCCUCCUCGCACAGUGUCCGCUCCCUCCGCCCCUGCUCCCUCUGCAGUCCCCCUCCCCCGCACAACAGCCACGACCGUUGGGGAGGGGAGCAGCUGUCACAACAUGUUUUGUUUUCCUGACAUCUGUUUGUUCAUUGGGGAGCACAUAGAUUUGGUACAACAACGUCCCUCACCCAAAGCUGGUGGAGUAUAAGAAAGAUCAGAACUGGGUUACAAGAUCUGGUGAUUAUCUUGUUUUUCCUGGAGGUGGAACUCAAUUCAAAGAUGGCGUGGGAAGAUACAUUCAGUUUGUUGAACAGAUUAUGCCAACCAUACAAUGGGGAAGGCGCACAAGAACUGUCUUGGAUGUUGGAUGUGGUGUUGCCAGCUUUGGUGGAUACCUGCUUGACAGGAAUGCCAUUACUAUGUCAUUUGCCCCAAAAGACGAGCAUGAGGCUCAGAUACAGUUUGCCCUAGAGCGUGGAAUUCCAGCAUUUCUAGCAGUAAUUGGAACACAAAAGCUUCCGUUUCCUGAUAAUGUGUUCGAUGUUGUACACUGUGCAAGGUGCAGGGUCCAUUGGUAUGCAAAUGGUGGAAAACCAUUGUUGGAGCUUAAUAGAGUACUGAGGCCUGGAGGAUAUUUCAUUUGGUCUGCAACCCCUGUCUACCGUCAAGAGCAAAGAGACCAAGAUGACUGGAAUGCAAUGGUUACUCUGACUAAAUCAAUCUGCUGGAGAACAGUGGUAAAGUCUCAAGAUGUCAAUGGAAUUGGAGUUGUUAUAUAUCAAAAGCCAGCAUCGAAUUCUUGCUAUGCUGAAAGAAAGACCAAUGAGCCCCCUCUAUGCUCCGAGAGAGAUGGAUCACGCUUUCCUUGGUAUGCUCCUCUUGAUAGUUGCCUUUUCACAACUGCCAUUACCACUUCAGAUGAAAGAUAUAAUUGGCCUGUUCCAUGGCCUGAAAGACUUGAUGUUAGCUAUGCAAGUGUACCUGAUGAUUCUGCUUCUAACAAAGAGAAGUUUGAAGCUGAUACAAAGUAUUGGAAACAGCUCAUUUCAGAAGUAUAUUUCAAUGACUUCCCACUUAAUUGGUCAAGCAUUCGCAAUGUAAUGGACAUGAAUGCUGGGUUUGGAGGGUUUGCCGCAGCACUCAUUGAUCAACCUUUAUGGGUUAUGAAUGCUGUGCCAAUUGGUCAACCAGAUACCUUGCCACUUAUUUUCAACAGAGGUUUGAUUGGGGCAUAUCAUGACUGGUGCGAAUCUUUCAGCACCUACCCUCGUACCUAUGAUCUUCUCCACAUGAGUAAUCUCAUUGGAAAUCUUACAAACAGGUGUGACCUCAUCGACGUGGUGGUUGAAAUCGACAGAAUACUGAGACCUGGAAGAUGGUUUGUGUUGAAAGACACGUUAGAGAUGAUAAAGAAGAUACGCCCAAUCCUGAAGUCUCUGCACUAUGAAAUUGUCGUCGUGAAACAGCAAUUUCUUGUGGCUACAAAGAGUUUCUGGCGUCCUGGCAAACCAGCUUCCACAUCAGGGUGACAUAUAGAUCGUACUUUCAAGGGAGUCUUCAACAACCAACGAUUCUAUUGAUUCUUUGAGACCUGAUCAAACUAAUUCUUUCUACAACACAGUCUAUGUAGAUUAUUACCUGUAUAAGUAUAGAAAAUACAUAUGGUAAGUUGAGGUAAUACCCCUUUUUUUUGCCAAAGCAUAAUAACAAGGAUGUUAUAGACUUAUGCAGUAGUAGGCAAGUUUUGACAAAUACAUACAAAGGGAAGGGAUCAUGAAACGUGUUGUGUAUACUUGCUCGUUGAUAACUUUUGUAAAAGGAGUUUGAAAUAACCUUGUACUCAGUACUCAUCAUGGUUCUGCAAUGCCAGUGCAUUCUGACGUUCAGCUCCCAGGAGCUAUUUUUAUA